AGAAGGGAAACCUAAAACAGGCAGAGUUCGGAGUUUACAGUGAAAAGAAUGAAAUAUUAAUUGAGUACUGUGCAGCGAGAAUGCAGAAGCGGGGAGGUGACACCGAGAAACAUAAACAAUGAUGAAUUUAUAUAGGUAGUGACAAGGACUACUAUGCUACCGGUAGUCGGUAGCGAGGAACUUUGACACUGGGAAACACGUACUGGUCUGCACCAUCUCUCCUCCGUUCGUUACCUUUUGGUUUCUUCCCGGCUUCCUGUAUCUCACAGCGUCACCAGGAAGACUGCAGCCAAACCUCAUCCCUCAGUCUGUACAUCGCUAUUGCGAAUGAGAAAGGACUCUGCUGGAUCGAUCCUUGGCCUAAUCCAACGUGGACCUUAAAACUUCAUAAUUCACACUGCACGUCUCAUUAGAAUCAUACUACUGUGUGUUAACGUACGACAUAUCUUUCACCACACUCACAUAGUACUUAUCUUACUUCUGACUUCGUGUGCAAUACCAAUGCUCCUUCUGUGGCAUCCUGUCAUAUACUCCACAAACUUUUUUUUUUUUCCCUGCACACACUGAACAAAUUUGUGUUGCUUCUUCCUGAUAUGAAGCUGUAUUGCUGUAUUGCUGUUUGUGGAUAACUAGUUCUCCUUUAAAGCUCAAAUUUUAUAUUUUCCAUAACUUCAUGGUAUGACUGGCCAACAUAAUACCUUUGUAGUUGUACUGAUUCUAACAGACUUAUUUCCUUGUGAUAUGCAACGUAAUUUGGGCAUCUAACCAAUGCCAGGUGUAAUUUUAACAUAAAUUCUAAAUCCCUGUUUUUAGUGCACUUAACACUGAAUCCUAAACACACAAUCAGCCAUUUCUGACCUCUUUACAUCGGCUCCUCUGGGAGAUAUCUGGGCAAAUUAAUCACCCUCUCUACAUUUACUAAUGUUAGGUUUAGGUUCAGUCCAUUCAUCAUUUUUCUGUUUGCAAAGGAAGAGAAAUCAAUCCCUUCAUUCCAUCUUCUCAUAAAUGAGAUUGAAAUAUUAUUUGCAAAUAUAAGCAAACCGAGGAUGGAAAUUUAGUGUUUUCCAGUCAAAUGCUUUCAAUUUUUCAUAUGAGCUUGAAGAAAUUCUUGACGGUCAUGAUUCCUUCAUUCAGCAUACUUAGGUCUUUUAGACAUCUUAAGAAAUGCUAACAACACCCUACAUAAUCAGGAGGGUGAUAUUGACAUUGUCACUGAAACAUUCUUAUUUAUUUUCUUGCACAACCUUAUUUAUUUUCAAACAGGUGAGAUACUUCUAAUACAUUUUGUUUAUAUAGCAAGAUAUUUUUGGAUAAAAAUACUAAAGUGAGGAAGUUAACUUGAACUGAGGAGGGAGUAAAUGAAACACAUCCCAUGAUCCUUCUUAGCCACACAGGUUAGAAAUAAGUAUCAAAUAUCAAUAAUUUUCUUUGUUAAUUUGAAAGACGUACUGAUGUAAAGAACAAAAUGUAGAAACUGAUAAACAUGUAGGAAAGGUAAAAGAAUACAUUGAUAUCUUCUGGUAUUUAUUCCUUUAUAUGAAUGCAAAAUACAUUAAUCACAUUACAAAAUGGAUGGCUUCAAGAGUUUUAAACUAUGGACACAAAUAACAGUGUCUGGUCCUUAUGUAUAAAUCAAAUCUCUUAAAUGUGAACAUCCAGUCAAGUUGCAGGACAAUACUUGCUUUUCAGGGGACCAUAGGCACAUCUUAGACUAUCAAUUUAAUCAUCCAAACUUUGUUAAUUAUAACCAUUUUGUAGCUUGUGUGAAAUCAUUGGUAAUGCAAAGUUCAAUUGUCAUUACAUAAAAGCUUCACUAGAAAGGAAGAACUACAUGUGUGUAUUUUAUUGAAGUUCUCAUGGAAGGUGGUAACUCACACAACAUGUCAUUAUGGCAUUUCACAAUACAAGUUUUUCCCUACUGGGCCAGUUCAUGCAUAGUUAAAUUUGAUCCCCUGAGGAGCAAAUAGUGAUUCUUGUUAAAAUUUCUAGAUACACUGGACAUAAACUCUAUACGAGGUAAUAUAACUUCAAAUACUAAUGUAUGCAGGCAAUGGGGACAGAUUACCUAUUUCCUAUUAGAGUUAAGGCUCUUUCUUACAUCAUAGGGAAAAGCUUGCUCCAAACUGCAGAAAAUUAAAAUAAAACUAUACCAAACCUGGUCAGUGUUACCAGGAGGAACUACAAGUCAGUAUGAAAAAAGCCAAUGAUAUAACUUAACAAUACUUUCUUCUUGGAUGGCUUUGGAGCCCACAAAAAGGGGUACUCAACAUCUUGCAAGUGUUGAGGGGCAGGCUUAAUCAGAUGUAAAAAUAAACAAUAAUUUGUAACAAAAUAUGUGCUGCAUGGAAUGUCUACUUGACCUACAAAAGCAGGGAUGACAGCAAUAACUCAUUCUCAAACAAUUAGCCAAAUCACACUUUGUGAAAGUUAUCCAAGGGCUUUGAAACCUAAAUAGAUUCAAACAAAGCUGAACACAAACUAUUCUAUUUCUGUUAUUAGUUUAAGGUGAUAGGAGCAUAAAGAAAAACAAAAAUAAAAAUAAAAGAUAUAAAAUAAAAAGGAAGUGAAAAGUGCUGUGGGAAAUUGGAAUUGUAUAUUCCAAAUGACUAAGAAGGGGAGGGAACCUGCUGGAGAACAAUGAAGUUGUGGCGAGUGUCCUUUGUCUUUCUUAAAAGUGGUGACAACGAUACCUUUGUACACGGACAAUGGCUUCAAUUAUCAGGUACAGACAUACAAACAUACUAGGAAAGUACCUUAGAUGUUAACUUAACUGAUUGAUCUCAGCAACACUUUUCAAUAUAUUCUCUCUAUGGCCUGUGCAUACAACCCUUCCUCUUCAUCAAAUAUAGCUGAUUUUUCUCUACAUGUAUGUAGUAUGUUUACAAGGCAAAGAAAUCAUAGUCUACUACAUAGUUAAAAAACCUGCUAUGACCUCCCUCAAAACCAAUAUCGGCUAAGUAAACAUCUUAAAUACAUCCCAUGGAAAAACAGGAGCUAAAGCAAAGGGCAGGAUAGCCUCUACGUGAAGGGCACAACAUCUAACAGUUAGGGUCUUAGCACAGGAGUUAAGGCAGGAAAUAUUACUACAACCCUCAUGAAAAGAAGCUCUGAUUGCAAGGGAAAGAUAUCUAGUAGUUAUCAGAUAGAGAGUAUGAAAGGUCAAGAGACAGUGUGUUCCUCAUUCAGGAGGACAAUAAAGAAGAGCAGUGGUGAGAACCAGGAAGUAAAUGGUAGAAGUAGUACUGAUGGGUUAGAUGACAACAUUUAUUAGUAAUCCAUAUGUAGAAUAACAUGAAACAAAUAUUAUGACAAUAAAUUGUACAAAAAUACAUCAGUGAUUACUUUGGAGCUAGUUUAUUUAGUCAAAUACCUGAAUAUUCAUAGUUUAUUAGUGGACGUUAGACUUCCAAUAUGAAGUCUAAAUAUUUAUGAAUUUCCCCUUCCUCAGAUAUCAUUCUUUUCACAUGAUAAAAGUAGAGAAUCUACAAUUGUAUUAAGAGAUUAUAAGAAAAUCAAAAUAUGUAAUUCUGAUAUUAACUGAAACACUGCCUUAAGUAAAAAACUAUACAGGUUAUGUUUUUGAUUAACAGUUACUUCAAUAUAUUGGAUGGAAUCCUAGCCGUCAUCUGUGAGGUCAUUCCAUCAACAGCGCUCGUAAUUUCCUUAUCUAUACCAUCACUGAAGCAGGUACAAUCAACCAAAUUGCACUCAUUUUGUGCUUCAAAAAAGUCCCCCAAGCAUAGUUACAAUCCUCUCAAAUUAAAUUUAUUUGGCAUUAUCAACACCCUAUAAAAAAAAAUGCAAAUUGUGGCAUUCUUUACCCAGCUCGGCUUGGCAGAAUACUACUGCAACUCUGACACUUCAGCAAUGAUUUGCUAAAGUCCUACAUCAAGAGCCUUACCAGCAACUGGAAAGGCUUGUAUUUUUUUUUUAAUCCUAGAGUAAACAUUCUACAGCACUUGUGUUAGAACUCUUCCAAACAAGUCCCUAAGCCUAGUGGUUUAGCUUUUUGCAAUAAGUGUUGUAAUGUGUAUCUACUUCAUCAAUAUGAGAAUCUGAAGAUGGCUGGACUUACUGCUGGUGCUUAGUAUCUGCGGCCAGUCUGACCUCCAAACUCCCUCACGCUGUCAAAAUAACAAUUUGAAAAGGUAACAAUUCAGGUUAUCUACCAUUAGGUUCUAUAUUGAUCUUAGGCAGGCUACUUAUAUAGUGAGAUGCCUGUAGUGGUAGUAUAUGUCUAGCCGCGACAAUUACCUAGUCUGCUCCUCAUAGUCUCCACCCUGGUAAUGCUGGCCGCCGUACUCCAGCACACU